rnacentral:rRNA from 1 species
ACGCUAUCACUCCUACGGGAGGCAGCAGUAGGGAAUAUUGGGCAAUGGACGAGAGUCUGACCCAGCCAUGCCGCGUGCAGGAAGACGGCCUAUUGGGUUGUAAACUGCUUUUAUCUGGGAAGAAAAGGCCCAUGCGUGGGACAUUGCCGGUACCAGAUGAAUAAGCACCGGCUAACUCCGUGCCAGCAGCCGCGGUAAUACGGAGGGUGCAAGCGUUGUCCGGAUUUAUUGGGUUUAAAGGGUGCGUAGGCGGCCAAUUAAGUCAGUGGUGAAAGACUUCGGCUCAACCGGAGCAGUGCCAUUGAUACUGGUUGGCUUGAGUGCUGCAGGGGUACAUGGAAUUGAUGGUGUAGCGGUGAAAUGCAUAGAUACCAUCAGGAACACCGAUAGCGAAGGCAUUGUACUGGGCAGCAACUGACGCUGAUGCACGAAAGCAUGGGUAGCGAACAGGAUUAGAUACCCUGGUAG